ACUAUUUCAAAUGUGGUGUUAAUGAUUAAUGUUAUUCUUGUGGUUCUUCAGUUCUAAGCUUUAGAACUUGGUAAAUAGGAUAAAAUUAACACUAAUUAGGUUGAAGGAACAGGUUAAAA